GACGAACGCUGGCGGCGUGCUUCAUACAUGCAAGUCGAACGAGAAGCUAGAGCUUGCUCUAGUGGAAAGUGGCGGACGGGUGAGUAAUAUGUAGGAAAUCUGCCCUAGAGAGGGGGACAACAGAAGGAAACUUCUGCUAAUACCCCAUAUGAGCUUGGUUGAAAUACCAAUCUUGAAAACUCCGGUGCUCUAGGAUGAGCCUGCACCUGAUUAGCUUGUUGGUGGUGUAAUGGACUACCAAGGCGACGAUCAGUAGCUGGUUUGAGAGGAUGAUCAGCCACAAUGGGACUGAGACACGGCCCAUACUCCUACGGGAGGCAGCAGUAGGGAAUUUUGCGCAAUGGGCGAAAGCCUGACGCAGCAACGCCGCGUGUGUGAUGACGCCCUUCGGGGUGUAAACGAACUGUCAGUAGGGACGAAUUUGUACGGUACCUACAGAGGAAGCACCGGACUAACUCCGUGCCA
rnacentral:rRNA from 1 species